UGUUUUACCUAUUGCAAAUGACAGGAAGAAUCAGAUGCUUGGGAGUUUAAUCUUCUGUUGCUGGAUAUUCUACAACUGCAGGAACCAGUGACUGACCUGCUGUGCCGGAUUGGACACAUAUUGUGCUUGUUAUUUUUGGACUCUCAGUGGUUUUUGGUAGAAUGUGUUUUUAUGAAUAUCCUUUUUAUUUGUCUUAAAUACCUGUAUUAGCUUCUCUUAUAUUUUUAAAAAGUACUGCUUUUGCUUUAAUUCCAAAUACCUAUGCCUUUUGAGCUUACUGUUUUGAAGAAAAUAUUGAAUACUCUGACCUGCUUACAUGGGUUUGUUUAUAGAUGAUACUAUACACACGUGCACAAAUGUCCCUGUACACUCUGUUCUCCAGAAUCAAUUGUAACCCGACUGUCUCGUAACCUUAAUAUUCCAACUAAAUGUUUCAAAAAUAUCUUUUGACUUUGAAAUUGAUAACACAUGCUGUCAUGAUUUCCAAUCCAAUGGGUGCUUCAGUUAAUUUUUUUAUAAAUUUAAUACGUUUAAAAUUGGGCGUUUUUAAAAAUGUUGCCUUUACAAAUGAAGUGUUCAUACUCGAUUAUAGCUUGUACAUGUAUAAACCUUUCUAUAGUAUAUGCUAAUGUCUACAGGUUUCUCUCAAAAAGGCUGUUUUAUAUUUCGACAUAGUGUCCUUUAUCUGUUUUUCUUUAUAAAUUUGACAUCAGUGAACAGUUUUGCCUCAGAUUGAAGAUAUCUUUAUUUGAUAAGAAGAGCGCUGUUAAUACAACAUCAUGCUUAUAACAAGGAGACGUUUAGGUCCCAAGUCUGUUUUUUAAUACUUACAAUACAAAGUACUUGUUAUAAUGAGGUAAUCUGUAAAGUCCCAAGGACCUUGCUAUAUCUGUGUUCCACUGUAGUCGGUUGCACAAUUAAAAAAAAACCACAUGACUGCACUCUCACUUUUCUAUUUGGAGUUGCAAAGUUCAAUAACUACAAAUGUUUAUAGUUUUUAAUUGCCAAACACCUUUUUUUUGGCUUUGUUAUUAAGCAAUCCGUAAUAUGUGGACUGUUCUUUGCAAAGAGUGUCCUAAUAAAAACAUGAGGAAAAUCA